GGGAAGAAACAAAAUGCAAAAAUUUCGUAAAACUUAAACCACACCAACUUUUUAAGCAACGCAAUGGAAGGCCAGAAUAAAAUAAAACAACAAAGCAAGAAGAAGUAAUGGCUAAAGACGAAUUAUUCAAGACGAAUAAACUUUGUACUACGUAGGAAAUGAAUCUUUUUAACCUCACAGGUGUGCACAAUCAAUCAGCGUGAUCGCAUAAAAAAAUAACAACAACAAACGGCUAUGUGAAAGUGUGCUAGUGUAUACAGUAUAAUGUAUGUUUCUGAACCAACUUUAGCUUUGACUUUAAAUAACGAAACCAAAACGAAGCUCAAAUAAAGAAAUAUUCCCACAACAGUAUUCAACAGAGCGUUCAUGUCGUGUCGGCUUUAUUCAUUUUCAUGGUUUUGUUUCAAAUGGAAGCUCAAAAACAGAAAACAACAAGAAUAAAAACAACAACAAUAACAACAACAAAAACAAUAAAGAGGAGAAAACAAUGGACGUUAGCUUACCAUGUACUCCAAUAACCUGUUGAUCUGAAGUGGCACAUAUAAUAUACCGCAUUUUUUUCUGUAUUGAUUUUUCUAAUGUCAUGAAUACUGUACAUCUCAUUCUCGAAGGCAAAAUAAAAAUUUUCUUUAAAUGGUUUCAAUUUUA